rnacentral:lncRNA from 1 species
CUAAAUUACAAACGUUUUCAGCCAUCUUCAUUACUGUACAAAUACUAAAGAUUAUGACAAUGAAAUUCACUAUAACAUGGGAAGAAAACAUGGGUAUAGCAAAAGUUUUUUUGUCUUCGAUCCUAAGAAAUGUUGAGACUAAUCAAAGUCAAGCGGGAGCACACCAGAUUGCAAAUGAUGACAACACACAACAGCAGGCCAUAAAUGAAGAAAAUAGUUUUAUUAAGUGCUAUACUAUUUGGCUAAAUGUCCUGUGGUUAAAAAAGAAUUAACCUAGCUAAUAAAAAACUAGCCAGUAGAAGGAACCCAUCCGUUUUUGAGUCCAUUAGAAAUAGCAAAGAUAAGCUGAAAGAUAAAUAUAAAUGAGGAGUAUACAGUAUUCCGGUCACCAAUAAAAGCAGUGGAACAGAAAAUAGAUAUAUAGGUAUUAUAACUCACACAUUAGAAGAAAGGUUAAACAAGCAUCGAAAAGAUGUAAAGGAAGGAAGAGUGAAUGCUGUGUUAGCAGAAGAAUAUUAUACUGAAAAUGUAGAAGUACACUGGGACCGUGCCAGAAUAAUAAAACAAAUAGAUAGUAUAGAG